rnacentral:rRNA from 1 species
GAGUUUGAUCCUGGCUCAGAUUGAACGCUGGCGGCAGGCCUAACACAUGCAAGUCGAACGGUAACAGGAAGCAGCUUGCUGCUUCGCUGACGAGUGGCGGACGGGUGAGUAAUGUCUGGGAAACUGCCUGAUGGAGGGGGAUAACUACUGGAAACGGUAGCUAAUACCGCAUAACGUCGCAAGACCAAAGAGGGGGACCUUCGGGCCUCUUGCCAUCAGAUGUGCCCAGAUGGGAUUAGCUAGUAGGUGGGGUAACGGCUCACCUAGGCGACGAUCCCUAGCUGGUCUGAGAGGAUGACCAGCCACACUGGAACUGAGACACGGUCCAGACUCCUACGGGAGGCAGCAGUGGGGAAUAUUGCACAAUGGGCGCAAGCCUGAUGCAGCCAUGCCGCGUGUAUGAAGAAGGCCUUCGGGUUGUAAAGUACUUUCAGCGGGGAGGAAGGCGAUGUGGUUAAUAACCGCGUCGAUUGACGUUACCCGCAGAAGAAGCACCGGCUAACUCCGUGCCAGCAGCCGCGGUAAUACGGAGGGUGCAAGCGUUAAUCGGAAUUACUGGGCGUAAAGCGCACGCAGGCGGUCUGUCAAGUCGGAUGUGAAAUCCCCGGGCUCAACCUGGGAACUGCAUCCGAAACUGGCAGGCUUGAGUCUCGUAGAGGGGGGUAGAAUUCCAGGUGUAGCGGUUAUUUGCUUAGAGAUCUGGAGGAAUACCGGUGGCGAAGGCGGCCCCCUGGACGAAGACUGACGCUCAGGUGCGAGAGC